GCCCGCAUGGGUGGCAAAACACUCAGCAUAAUGACUGCUUACAAUAUCAGGAAACGCAAUUCCGCGCAACAUUUCAGUGUCCAGGAACACCCGAUUCCUUUCCAUUUUGCUGGGUGUUUUGCCACCCAGGGGAACGUGUCACAGGUCGUGUCCUGACAUGUUCGCGUGGGAAAGUGAUGUCGAUGCAUACCCUCUAUUGCUCAAAGGUUCCCUGAGGGCUCAACACGCUUGCACAGGGGACAAAGGCCUGGAAGAUGCACAUCUGGAAGCCCAGCCUGUAUUUGAAUUACAACUGGAUGACAUCCUCCAUUCUUUUUUCAUCACGUCUUGAGGAAUGUUUGUUCUGGCUUAU